AAGUCGUAACAAGGUUUCCGUAGGUGAACCUGCGGAAGGAUCAUUAUCAAAACAGCGGACUUCGGUCCUUGCUGCACCCUUGUCUUUUGCGCACCGUAUUGUUUCCUCGGCGGGCUUGCCUGCCGGUUGGACAUCAUCAAACCUUUCUGUAGUUGCAAUCAGCGUCAGAAAAAUAACAAUCGUUACAACUUUCAACAACGGAUCUCUUGGUUCUG
rnacentral:misc_RNA from 1 species